GAUGAACGCUGGCGGCGUGCUUAACACAUGCAAGUCGAGCGAAGCAGUUAAGAAGAUUCUUCGGAUGAUUCUUGAUUGACUGAGCGGCGGACGGGUGAGUAACGCGUGGGUGACCUGCCCCAUACCGGGGGAUAACAGCUGGAAACGGCUGCUAAUACCGCAUAAGCGCACAGAGCUGCAUGGCUCGGUGUGAAAAACUCCGGUGGUAUGGGAUGGGCCCGCGUCUGAUUAGGCAGUUGGCGGGGUAACGGCCCACCAAACCGACGAUCAGUAGCCGGCCUGAGAGGGCGACCGGCCACAUUGGGACUGAGACACGGCCCAAACUCCUACGGGAGGCAGCAGUGGGGAAUAUUGCACAAUGGGGGAAACCCUGAUGCAGCGACGCCGCGUGAGCGAAGAAGUAUUUCGGUAUGUAAAGCUCUAUCAGCAGGGAAGAUAAUGACGGUAC
rnacentral:rRNA from 1 species